UGUCAAACUGCCGUCAUGUUGGUAUUGGUGUUCAUAGUAAAUUUAAAAAUUAAAGUUAGCAACAACUUAGCAAAAGUUGCUGUCAAAGCUGUUGACAGCGCGCGUCACAUUUGAAAUUGGAUUAUUUUUCUUCCCUGCAAUUCUUUAAAAUGGCUUCGCGCAAAAAAGGAACGGGUCUCUCAUUAACACAAAGAGAAAAAUUGGCAAUUGUAAGGUACAGCGAAGAAAUCACAAAUCAAAAUGCGGAGCUGAGAAAGAAGGAAAUUUGUGAAAAAGAUGCGCGCAUGUUCGAUAUUCAUCACACAGUUGCUUUCAAAAUUCUGGACCACUUUAAAGCCUCAAAGUGUGUAGAAGCUCCAAAGAAAAAAGGGAGGCCAAAAGUAAAUUAUAAAACGAACCCUGCAUUUUACUACAUUAAAGAGGAAUUGGGUCGACAGAUACAUUCAUUCCAUGCUAAUAAACAACAUUUUACUUUACAUGACUUGCACAAAUACGCUGUUGAAGAGUGUGAAUUCAUCUGCAAAAGUUCAAUAAUCGAAAAGUCCUUAUCGAGCAACCUCAUAUAAUCACGAAAAGAAUUCGUUUUAUCAGAAGAUACCUGCAAUAUUUAGAAUCAAAUACUUAUAUAUUCGUGUUCCUGGAUGAAACCUGAAUGUAUGAAAAUGGAAACAAAGUGCGCAUGUGGAUUAAUGAAUCUGAUCCCAAUAGGGUUCCAAAACUUGUUAACGCCGAGGGCAAAAUAUUUACUAUUCUACAUGCUGGUACUGUUGCAGGUUUUCUACCGGGAUGUGACUUACUUCUUAGCUCCGACUUAGAGCACCACGACUAUCACAAGAAUAUGAAUGCUGAAAUUUUCACUGCUUGGGUCAAAAAUCAAUUACUUCCGGCUCUAGCGUUGUUACCCAAACCGUGCAUAAUAGUCCUCGAUAAUGCCCCCUAUCACUCGGUGCAAGUCAAUAAAACACCAGUUGCAAGUUCAAAAAAAGGGAAUAUGAUACGUUGGUUGAACAUGAAUAACAUAGAAUAUCCUCCCAAUGCAUUGAAGAAAACGUUGUGGGAUAAAAUUCGCGAACACAAGGCUAAUUUGGAAAAAACAUAUAUUAUUGAUAAAUUAAUCAAAGAAAAUGGUCAUGUUGUAUUUCGAUUACCCCCCUAUAAUUGUCAAUACAACCCUAUUGAAUUGGCCUGGGGUUGUUUAAAGACUUAUUAUAACAAAAAUAUGCCAUCAUUUCCUUCUGCUGAAUCAAAGAUAGAAAAAGUUAAACUUCUGUGGCUCGAAGCGAUUUUAAAAUUUACACUUGCAAUGUGGAAUAAUAGUGUUCAACACUGCGAAAAAUUAAUUCGGGAGGACUGGGCAAAAUUAAUGGGCAAUUCCCCACUUGAAGACAUACCUCCAAUUAUUAUACAAUUGUCGGCGGAUUCAGAUGAUUCUGAGGACGAGGACUUUUGUGAUUCCGACUUUGAAUAGUUCUGAUGUUAUUUAAUAUUAUUAAACUGGUUUUAAUAUGAAAACACGUAUUUAUUGCUAUUUACAUUUCUAGACUGACACUUUAUCAAAAGUCGUUUAGGGGCAAAUCAUGACACAGCCUGGUCCGUACUUAAAUGUUUUAGGGUGAUACAGCGUGUUAUUUUUCUUUAUUGUGACAAUGACAAUUGUUUAUUAAAAAAAAAUACUGUAAUAGAGUAAGUGUGACAAAAUGCCUUAAAACGAGAUAUCAUACAGUAUUUUUUCUGCUUCGCACUUUUUGUAUCAAAAAAAUUAAUUUCGAAAUUUACGGAAUUUUGUAGCAGAUGACAAAUUUGCGCGCAGACAGUGAAAUGAAAUUAAUAAUUUGAAACGUCAUUAAUUUAUGUGUACAAAUGUAUUCUGAAAGUGUCCAAAACGUUUUGCAAUGUAUCCCUUAACAAAUUCGGGCUUUUGUGACAAAUACGUGGAAUUUGAAAAUUGGCCGAAGGCCGAAGACUAAUGAGAUUUCAAAUUACUUAUAGAAUAGACAACAUCCUAGUGACACGAUUUUUAAACGGCUUGAGAGGGAACUUAGAAGGAAUUGGCCUCUCCGUAAAAGAAGAAGACAACGCACUGCUAGGUCUUUGGAAAAUGAAGUUCGUGUUAUAGCUUCCGUGACAGAGAACCCACAAAUCGGACAGAGAAAUGUGGCCCGAGAAGUUGGCAUCAGCCAGACUUCAGUUUGUCGCAUUCUGAGGGAAAAUAAAUUUCAUCCGUAUCAUGUGCAGUUAGUACAAGAACUUUGAGAAACUGAUUUCGAACAAAGAUUAGAUUUUUGUCAGUUUAUCAGAACACAAAUGCAGGUUGACAAUAAUUUUGUUCAGAAAAUUUUAUUCAGUGACGAAGGCAAAUUUUCUAGCAACGGUAGCGUUAACAAGCACAACUGCCAUUGGUAUGAUCAGGAAAAUCCUCUGUGGAUACGUGAAGCACGUUUCCAACGAAUUGUUUCGGUAAAUGUUUGGUGUGGCAUCUUCGGGGACCGCAUAAUUCGACCAUUUUUUCCAAGAAAAUUUGACGGGUGAAAUCUACAUAAUUUUUUGCAAAACGUAUUAAGGCCAAUUUUGGAAAACUGACCACUGUCUAUCGUGGUUUGUGGUUUCAAUAUGAUGGAGCACCCCCACAUUACCAUAGACAUGUUAGGCAGUAUCUGGACCAUAUUUAUAAUAAUCAGUGGAUUGGUAGAGGAACCCUUAAUGCUUGGCCACCCCGUAGUCCGGACAUGACUCCAUUAGACUUUUUGUUAUGGGGUGAACAAGUGUAUGCAACACCUUUUGACACCGUCGAAUAGCUACAGGAACGCAUAACCAACGUAAUCCACAAUGUUUCGCCGGAACUUUUACAGUGUGUUCGAAGGUCUUUCCUCGAUAGAGUAGCGGCUUGCGAACAAGCAGGAGGCCAGCAUUCGUUAAAAAUCUUUUUUUGUCUCCCUUGUUUAUCGUUGCCAGUUAUGAUUUAGGAUAAAACUGUUUACCAACCUUUAAUGUUACAUUUUUUCAUACAUUUUGUAUUGGAGUUUCAACAAAGACUUCCUAAACUUUCUUUAUCAUUCCGCGAAAAAAUAAAAAAAAUAAAACACCAGAGUUUUCAGGUCGCAUCUACAGCCUCUGAGCUGACCUAACGACUACUAACUGGUAACUAGUAGUGACCGGGACCGACGGUUUAACAUCUCCUCCGAAAGACGAGUUAGUUGCGAUGUUUUUGGCAUUACAUUUCCGGUCACACAUCCAAGGUUAUAUAAUUUUGCUUUCUCCGUCAUAUGAGAAACACCUGCAGGAUUUACAAGAAUGUUUUCAAAGAAACCCAUAAUUUCAACAUCGAAUGGACCGCGCAAAAUGCCAUUUCGCGUGCGUCCAAUUCAAAUGUCUGGGCCCCCUUAUUACGCCUGAAGGUAUUCAAACAGACCCUGGAAAAGUUUCAGCCAUCUUAAACAUUUCCAAACCAAAGACAUUGAAACAGUGAGUUUCAAACAAUUAGUAGUAUCGAAACAACUACGGCCCCUAAUCACGAAAAAAUAUCACGCCGCCGCCAUUGCCGGUCACUAUGGAGCCAAAAACACCGCCUACAAGAUUAGAAAAAAGUUCGUCUGGCCCGGAAAGUACAGAUGCAGGGUGUUUGAAGAUUGCGCUCACAAAUUUUAACCACUAAAAGAAUGCCCUAUGAAAAGUCAAUUUGAAGAUCAAACAAAUUCCGUAUCCAAUUUUUUUUUAAUUUUCCCCUUCACGAUUUUCACGAGCCGUUCAGUAUGUCUCGCCUUGUUAGGUGGAAGCAAGGUAUUCAAUGAAAUAAUGUUGGUCAUGAAUAUCUGUAUGCACAAAAAAGGGAUAACUUUGUGCACGAAAAAAAAUAUCUGCCUCAAAAAAAUAUUAACAGGUGUUGACACACGUUGAUUUGGCCAAAUUUAAUCACGUUUUUGAGUGAAGUAAAUCGGUAUUGCUAAUUAGUAAUUACGUGUACUCCAACGCCGAAUUGACCGAUAUGGUCCAAUUCUACGAGGAAGUGUUCCCGCUUUUCGGAUCGACACAUCCCGGCCGCACGCACUUUUUUUAGCAACAGUGCAACACUUGCGGGACCACAACACAUUUUCGCCUGCAUUACGCGAUCGAGCGAACUGCACGCGUCUUAGAAGUGGAGUCUAAAAUUUUGGGGAUCGUUCAAGAAAAGCCCAGUGUGAGCAUCCGCAGUGUGGCCCUAUGUGUAGGAGUGUCUCCUUUUACGGUUAAUCGAACCCUACAUGAAUAGAGAUUGCACCCUUACCAUCUCCAUCUUCAGCCAGAAGACCCAGCUCGCCGAGUGGCUUUUUCGCAAUGGUUAAGCCACAAACUUGAUGAGAAGCCCAACUUUUUGCGCAAGGUGUUGUUUACAGACGAAUCAACUUUUACACCGUCACAACACCCAUGUGUGGGCAGAUGAGAAUCCUCAUCAAGUCUACGAGCACCACUUUCAAGACCGCUUUUCCUUAAAUGUUUGGGCAGGGAUAAUUGACUACUACCUAAUGGGACCCCACGUUUUACCAGAACAGUUAAAUGUGUUGGAUAAUGUUUUGAAGGACGUGCCCUUGACCUUACGAAUGGAUAUGUGGUUUUUACAAGAUGGAGCUCCACUACAUUUUGCCAGAGUCGUCACCAACUGGUUGAACAACCAUUUUCUGGUCACCGCGGUCACCGGAUUUAAAUCCGUGUGAUUUUUUUUGUAGGGUCACAUGAAAUAAUUAUGGCCGGUUGCACAAAAGUCAAAUUAAUCGACCAUCCUCCGUUAAAAUUUGAUGGCUUGUUAAUUGUGAUUGCGUUGCACAAAACAAUUUGCACAUGUUUUAAUCGUUCAUCAUAUGAUGCUCUGUUAAUAGUCCAUUAACAAAUAACAAAUUUGGCAACAAGGUUACAAUGUGUCACAGUCUUUCAAUUUGACAUUUGUCACUAGUGAGUUGUUCUAUUUUGGUUGUUUUCCGCUUUUAUUCUGGUGUGCUGUGUUGUUGUGGUUGAGUAAAGUAUACACAUAAUGAAAAAAAUAUUUUUCUUUCGGUGGUAGCAAAGUAAGUUUUUAUUAAAUUUGUUUUAGGGAAACCACUGAUAAGAAUGCGCAAAAGAUUUCAACACUUUAGUAUUACAAUUAAAUUUAUUAGCUACAACAGCCAAGAAAUUAAAAAUUUUUACGAGAAUCUUAGGCGAGACACGCGCAAAAGAGUGACAGGAACAUCAAAAGAAUAUAAAGCCCGAAUAAAGAAGGACAAGGCGAAGAAAGCUGCUGCUCACGACAAGAUAAUUACAAAUUUACAUAAUACUACAGUCUUUUUGUUAGAAAUUAUAAUUACAAAGAUUAUAAUAAAAGUAAAAAACAUUUAUUAAUAGAGUGAAAUAAUGAAAACAGGAGGAGGCAUUUCCAACUUGGAAAUGACUUCUGAACAAGGUUCUACUGGCCACUCUAGAGCAAGUGGAGCCGCUGGAGAAUCCGUACGACGGUGCAGUGGAACAAAAUUUCAUUUUUUAUGUCUUAAUAGAUGAUUUCAAAAUUUUUGAAACGCCAGUCUUCGAACUUGCUACCCCUAAACCUUCCUCCCACCCUUCCGAACUUAAUUGCCUUGGACCCUCUGCUCUACCCCCUGGAGCUAUCUGCGUUGCAACCCCAGUAUCUCGUCUCAAAUCAGUUCCCCCCCGACCAACACCCAGUAAAAAAAAACUAUGUCAAAGAAAUAAAUUAUAAGGAUCUGUUUUAUAAACAAAAAAUUUUAACAGAAAAAACAAUCAAAUAUUGUUAAAUUUAGAAAUAAGAAAAAUUACAUUAAAAAUUAAAAAAAUGCAAGACUGAAAUUUGGUUUUUUAUCUAGCGAAAAAAGUAUCUAUGAGGAAAUUUCGAACUGCAAAAUUAACAUUAUUUAUACUAUUUCCUUGGUAAAUAAUAUCUUCUUUAUCGUCUUCCAUUACUUCAUCAAAAUAUUCUUCAA